ACCUGGUGAGGCGCGCUUCCGACGUCGGGGCGGAGCCUGGACGCAGAUUGGCUGAGGCGUCGCGGGGAUCGCUGACUGGACGCAACGGGGCUGCGCAGGGAAGAGGCGAUGAAGGAUUGUUGUAUUUUGCAGGGGAACAGCGCGGCUAGUUCCUAACAACACUGAAGCCUUAAAGGGUAAAUGUCAGCUGACUUCCUGAUGCCAGCAUCCAUGUCCUCAGCAUCACCUGGAAACUUGCUAAAAAUGCAGACUCUCAGCCUCUGCCCCAGUUCAACUAAAUUAGACCGUCCUCUUUGGCAAGAUCCUCAGGCGUCUUAACAGCGAGAGGGAAGACUGGGAAGAGGACUCACGUGGUCCGUUGACCUUGAUGCCUCCUGACAGAGUCUUAGUUUUGGAAUUGCUAAAGAUGUAGGCGCAGAAGAGUGCAGCUUGGUGCACGAAUUCAGAGUCCAGCUCAUCAUCACGCAGUUCUUCAAGCCGGCUAAGCUGCUUCCUCUGAGUGGGUCGAUCAAAGAUAAAGCAUUUCUUGUUUGGGAAGAACUUCCGGAUACAGAGUCGAGGCAGAUUAAACAUUUUAUCUUUUUCACUGGUACCUGGAAGAAGAUAAAAGAGAAUUUGCCUAAUAUAGGGGCGUACACACUUUUUCUGAAUAUUUUAGGCAUUUGCAAGCCAGAUGGUCUUUUUUCCAAGUACUCUAUCUGCCAUCACAGCAUGAAGGCAGCCUUAGAUAGUCUAUAAGUGAAGGGGCAUAGCUGUUUUCCAGUAAAACCCUAUUUACAAAGACAGCUGGCCGGCUGGAUUGGCCAUCAUUUGACUGUGGGCCAUAGUCUGCCAACCCCUGGACUAAUGCACUGUUCAUGCUUUUAUUUAAUUUCUUCAAAUACAUGACCAUUCUACUCCAUAAUCUGGCUAAUUACAGCAUUACAAGCCCUAAGAAGAUCAUAUCAAUCUAGGCACAGCACAGGGAAAGGUAAAAGAAAAAGCAACUCUUUCUUAGAACAAGAGAAAAUAGUUCAAAAUCAAAUGUAUUAGUUCAGGUAUUAAACGAGUUCUCAGGUUAAGUAAUGGCCCCCGAGAAGAAAUAGAAAACAUAAAUACAAGAAAACUGGAUAGAAAACUAAAGAAUGAUAGUUUUGGGUGCUGACCUCAUUUACCAGUUCUCAGUCCCCUUGUUACCUUUCUUCAGCUUGAGUGAAUUCUCCAGGUACUCGUCUGGUGUGAUACACUGCCCAUCUGUUUCCAAGUCUAGGGAGAAAUCCCUCAGCGUCCACACAAAGUCUGGAAAGAAGCUCACAAAGUCAGCUGAAUCCUCAACCCCGUCCUCCUCAGGGGAGGAUUUUGCCCUGAUUCUAUCUGUCAGCUCUGUCACAUAGCUGAGCAGCAAA